GAUGAACGCUGGCGGCGUGCCUAACACAUGCAAGUCGAACGGAGUCCAGCCUUUAAGACCUUCGGGUCAAAGAGGGGAAGACUGAGUGGCGGACGGGUGAGUAACACGUGGGCAACCUGGCUCAUAGAGGGGGAUAACAGAGAGAAAUUUCUGCUAAUACCGCAUAAGCACACACUGCCGCAUGGAAGAGGGUGAAAAGAGAAUCGCUAUGAGAUGGACCCGCGUCUGAUUAGCCAGUUGGCAGGGUAAGAGCCUACCAAAGCGACGAUCAGUAGCCGAUCUGAGAGGAUGAACGGCCACAUUGGGACUGAGACACGGCCCAAACUCCUACGGGAGGCAGCAGUGGGGGAUAUUGCACAAUGGGGGGAACCCUGAUGCAGCGACGCCGCGUGAGUGAAGAAGUAUUUCGGUAUGUAAAGCUCUAUCAGCAGGGAAGAUAAUGACAGUACCUGAAUAAGAAGCCCCGGCUAACUACGUG
rnacentral:rRNA from 1 species